rnacentral:misc_RNA from 1 species
CGCGUGCGUGUGCGCACGUGUGUGUGUAUGUUAUGCACGCGCGCACCAUGGUCGGUCAUACGUAUACAUAUAGCACCGGGUCUAAGCACGAACGAGUCGUGGCAGAGAGCGGGGUCGAGGGUGGAUUUCACGCAAAGCCGAGCGAGCGAGAAGGAAAUGCACGGCGCUCGACCAAGCGAGAGGCGAACAAUUCGCGUCGAAGCGCGUACGGACUGAUCCUCAAAACGGAAAGAGAACUAUCGGUGAAGAAACGAAAGGAGGAACGUUCGAAUAAGAAAGAGAAAGAGCGCUCGUUGCGAGUGCAACCAUCCUUCGCGAUCUACGUGGAAAUGAGAGCAGCCACGAAGGAUACGUUGGACCAGUGGGCGGGAAAAAGUGUUUGGUCGUUGGUAUGCGCGAUGGAAUUGGGUUUGAUAUCGGAUACCACCGCCUCUCGUAACAACGAGAUAUCGUUUCGCCCGAUAUCGGAGGUCGCGAGCAAAUCAUCAUCCCCCUUAAGGAUCUCGCCGCGGUUUCGAAAGAAACGAGCCAACGUAGGAGGAGGAAGAGGAAGAAGAAGGAAACGAGCGUCGAAAAUGAGUGGGAAGAGGAGGAAGAUGUACGCGAACGAUUCAACGAUCACCGUGGAUCAAUUUUGGAGAUCGCGCAAGAGAAAGCUCGGCCGACCGAAGAAACAACGUUCCGCCGAUCUACUCUCCUCCUCGUUCGAUCGUCGUCCGAUUUUGUCCGAUUCGUGUCGAUCGACUCGCUCGCGCUCCGCCAACAAUAACAGCAAUAACAACAAUAAUAAUAACAGCAAUAACAAUAACAAUAACAAUAACAACAACAACAACAGCAACAACAACAACAACAAUGUCCUUCUCGCCGGUACGGACGCUCCACGUUUCGAGCGACGAGUAUCCCGCGACGAUAAUGGCGCGUGGAAAAGUUCGAGAAAAAGUGUGCUUCACGAAAAAACGAACGACGAAAAUACGAUCGAGAAUGUUGUAACGCGUUCUAACGGGAGGGGACUCGAGUCGAAAGUUAAGGAGGACGAGAGUCGGGACUCGACGAAAUUCGACGAAAUUCACACGCUUCCUUUGAUGAAGAGAAUUUUUCGCGAGAGCGGUGUUGUUUACGGUGUUGAGAACGAGAGAAAAGAUGGCCGUCGAGAUACGACGGACGAGAAGUGGACGGUUCACGAGGCUGGAAAGAAAGAUUCUAUGAAAAAAGUUUCCUCCUCCGAGAGGAAGAGGGUUCGAGAGAAAAUGUUGAAAGGUAACGAGGAAAAUCAGGAGGUGAGAAGAGUGACGCGAGGAUCGAUGAAAAUUGGGAAGGAUCUGUCCGUCGGCAAAUUGGUGUGGGGCUAUUGCGCGGGAUGGUGGCCAGCGUUAAUUAUCGAUGCCGACCAUGUAGGAAUGUUGUCCGAGGAAGGGAAAUUAUGGGUUUACUGGAUCGGAGAAGCUCGUAUAUCAUUAUUGAACGAAAAGACGCAGAUCGAACCGUUCUCGUGUAACCUCAAGGCUAGACUGACGCAGAAUUUAAACGUACCGCGAAUUCGUGCCAUUGACGCAACUAUGCAGAUGUUGCGCAAAAAAUUGGGCGGCAUUUUGACCAAACCGUAUUUCACGUGGAUCGAAAGCAAUUUCCCCAAAAAUAUGAUCGAAAUGUUGGACGAAAUCAAGUUUUAUCCGUAUCCGAUAAAAAUGCAACAAAGAUUGGACCAUCUUAGAGAAAAAAACGCAAAAGUAACGGAAAGAUAUUUAUUGGAUCAAAAACGAGAAAAUCAAGAGAGAAAACUGGCCGAGAAGUCGAAAGAUUCGCCGCAAAAAGUCAACGUAGAUUUGACGCUUUUGCCAUUGAAAGAACAGAAUCCAGGAAUUAUAGCCUGGGCUAAAAUUGCCGGGCAUAAUUGGUGGCCAGCGAUGAUUAUCGAUUAUCGCGAUUGUUGCAUGCGAGAACCAACGUUCGGUUGCCAAUGGAUUAUGUGGUACGGUGACUACAAACUGUCAGAGGUGCAUCACCAAUUGUUUUUGAGAUUCGACAAGGGAAUGGAAAAAAUGCGGGAAUACACGAACAACACGAAAAAACAUAUUUAUCUCGUCGGUGUUCUUCAAGCCUCGAAGGACUAUUGCUCCCGCCUAGGAUUCGAAACCGUCAACUGGACUUUGGACGACGCGUUCGAAUAUUUUUCCAAACCUAAUCAUUACGAAACGUCGUCCACCUCGAGAAGAGAAGAUUCGGUUAAAAUCUAUGACAAAUAUUCGCCCCGUAUCGCGGAAAAAUUGAACGAAUUGAAGGAUAAUCCGAAUGUGGACGACGAACGGGCGAAUGAUAUAAACAACAGCGAUGAUUUGCGAUCGGCUAUAAGCGGAGAAAUCUCGUUCGAUUCGUUGUGCCUAAAGUGUCUACGUGUUUCCAACGAUAAAAUGGACAUUCAUCCGUUCUUCGAGGGAUCUUUGUGCAAAGAUUGUUCGGAACGAUAUAAACCCUGUAUGUUCGUUUUCGGUAACGACUCCAAAUGCUUUUAUUGCACGGUGUGCGCCGCCUCUGGGAUGGUGAUCAUCUGCGACAAAGAAGAUUGUCCAAGGGUUUACUGUACCGCUUGCAUGAAACACCUCUUAUGCCCGACGACUUACGAGCAAGUGCUCCAAGAGGAUCCUUGGGAAUGCUUCCUCUGCAAGUCUCGAUCGUUCACCGACACGAUCGUCAGACCUCGAACUAAUUGGAAGGACAAGAUAAUUAAUAUGUUCCGUACGAGUUGCGAUUCAAAUGCUCAACACUUGGUUGCAAAGCACAAUUCAGAGAAGAGAAAAAUACGCGUUCUCUCCCUGUUCGAUGGCCUUGGUACAGAUGUUUUCAGGUUUACUGGUGCUUCUGAAAUUGGGCUUCACAGUGGACGCCUACUACGCGAGCGAGAUCGAUCCAGACGCGUUGAUGGUUACCGCCUCGCAUUUCGGCGACCGUAUCCUUCAAUUAGGCAACGUAAAGGAUAUCACGAGCAGGACGAUUAAAGAGAUAGCGCCUAUCGAUCUUCUGAUCGGCGGAUCGCCGUGCAACGAUCUCAGUUUGGCCAAUCCGGCGCGCCUCGGCCUCCACGAUCCGAGGGGAACCGGUGUACUCUUCUUUGAGUAUCGUCGAAUUCUGAAACUGGUGAAGAAACUUAACAACGAACGACAUUUGUUUUGGUUGUACGAAAACGUCGCCUCGAUGCCCAGCGAGUACAGAUUGGAGAUUAAUAAACAUCUAGGACAAGAACCCGAUGUGAUAGAUUCGGCAGAUUUUUCACCUCAACAUAGAUUGAGGCUCUACUGGCAUAAUUUCCCGAUAGAACCACACUUGUUACCGUCCCAAAGGGAGCAGGAUGUGCAAGAUAUACUUACGCCACAUUGUCAACGUUACUCGCUCGU